GGAUAUGAGGGAGAUCUGGCUGUGACAUCUGUCACCCCAUUGAUCGCUAGGGUUGAUUUGGCUGAUCUGGCUGGCUAGGUGGGUGUCCCCUUCCUCCCUCACCGCUCCAUAUGCGUCCCUCCCGAAGCUGCGCGCUUCUUUGAAGAGGACGACCUUCCGGAUAGAGGAGGACCGUUUGGUCAAGGGUAUACAAGUAGCUGCACUCCCCUGCUAGAACCUCCAAACAAGCUUUCAAGGUCCAUUUGUAGGAGAACGUAGGGUAGUCAAGCUUCCAAAACUCCAGAAACAUCCAAAUGAGGCACUGCACAUGGCAGUCUGCUUUUCUUU
rnacentral:snRNA from 1 species